CCUACGGGAGGCUGCAGUGGGGAAUAUUGCACAAUGGGGGAAACCCUGAUGCAGCGACGCCGCGUGAGUGAAGAAGGUUUUCGGUAUGUAAAGCUCUAUCAGCAGGGAAGAAAAUGACGGUAUCUGAUUAAGAAGCACCGGCUAACUACGUGCCAGCAGCCGCGGUAAUACGUAGGGGGCAAGCGUUACUCGGAUUUACUGGGCGUAAAGGGCGCGUAGACGGGAUAACAAGUCAGAUGUGAAAUCCUGGGGCUUAACCCUAGAACUGCAUUGGAAACUGUGAAUCUAGAGUGUGGGAGAGGUAAGUGGAAUUCUUGGUGUAGGGGUAAAAUGCGUAGAGAUCAAGAGGAACACUAGUUGCGAAGGCGACUUGCUAGACUAUAACUGACGUUGAGGCGCGAAAGCGUGGGGAGCAAACAGGAUUAGAUACCCGAGUAGUC
rnacentral:rRNA from 1 species